rnacentral:rRNA from 1 species
AUUAGAUAAAAAACCAAUGCGGCUUGCCGCUCUUGGUGAUUCAUAAUAACUUCUCGAAUCGCAUGGCCUUGUGCUGGCGAUGCUUCAUUCAAAUAUCUGCCCUAUCAACUUCCGAUGGUAGGAUAGAGGCCUACCAUGGUUUCAACGGGUAACGGGGAAUAAGGGUUCGAUUCCGGAGAGGGAGCCUGAGAACAGCUACCACAUCCAAGGAAGGCAGCAGGCGCGCAAAUUACCCAAUCCCGACACGGGGAGGUAGUGACAAUAAAUAACAAUAUAGGGCUCUAUUGGGUCUUAUAAUUGGAAUGAGUACAAUUUAAACCCCUUAACGAGGAACAAUUGGAGGGCAAGUCUGGUGCCAGCAGCCGCGGUAAUUCCAGCUCCAAUAGCGUAUAUUAAAGUUGUUGCAGUUAAAAAGCUCGUAGUUGAACUUCGAACCCGGUCGGGCGGUCUGCCUUACGGUACGUACUGUUUGGCUGGGUUCUACCUCUUGGUGAGCCGGCAUGUCCUUAAUUGGG